GUGUUAUCUAUGGCUGAUUGUUCUAUUGUUGCAAAGAAUAUUGAAGUCAACAUUGUUAUAGCUCAUAAUAAUUCGUUUUGUUGAGAUUUUUAAGGUGUGUACAUGUAACACCCGUAACUAUGGAAUUGCCCAGUUGAUGUCGUAACAUGGGUUGUGGAAGCGAUUUCAGUGGCCACUGCAGAAAUGCAUGCCUGAUAGCAUGUAGCCACCGGCAGCAAAAGCAGAGCUUCACGCCGUAACGUGUGCCUCACCUGGCAUGACCAUGAAACAUCCAUCACUAAGCAUAUGGCAGUCAAUGUGAUGAACAGAAGGAGGCUUUGGUGGGUAGUGCUACAGAGAAGAAAUUGAACAUGACAAUAUAUAAACAUUAACAUAAAAUUAAACAGUUUCACUGAGUACAUUUAGUUAGGCUUUAGAUAAAUAUUGUUUACCUCACACAAAAGCAAGUACACAAAUUGCAACCAUUUGCUUCAUUAUGUUUCUUUUGCUACAGUGCUACCUCAUGUUCACAAAAAUACUUCUCUUGGUAAAUACUUUAUGAGUCAACAAAAAAGCUUUCUAUUAAUACAAAA